GUGGGGAAUAUUGGACAAUGGGCGAAAGCCUGAUCCAGCCAUGCCGCGUGUGUGAAGAAGGUCUUCGGAUUGUAAAGCACUUUAAGUUGGGAGGAAGGGCAGUAAGUUAAUACCUUGCUGUUUUGACGUUACCGACAGAAUAAGCACCGGCUAACUUCGUGCCAGCAGCCGCGGUAAUACGAAGGGUGCAAGCGUUAAUCGGAAUUACUGGGCGUAAAGCGCGCGUAGGUGGUUUUGUAAGUUGGAGGUGAAAUCCCCGGGCUCAACCUGGGAACUGACUCCAAAACUGCAUGACUAGAGUACGGUAGAGGGUAGUGGAAUGUCCUGUGUAGCGGUGAAAUGCGUAGAUAUAGGAAGGAACACCAGUGGCGAAGGCGACUACCUGGACUGAUACUGACACUGAGGUGCGAAAGCGUGGGGAGCAAACAGGAUUAGAUACCCUAGUAGUCC
rnacentral:rRNA from 1 species